CAGUAAUCAGAGCCUGCAGAUCAGGCAGGAGAGGUGGGGCCUCAGCCCGCGGUCGCUUGGGAGUUCACCUCAACCCAGCUUCAAAAAAAACAGGAGAAAAAGCAAAACACUUCAGCCAGUGUCCCUUUCCUAGCUCUGAACUGGAAAAACCCCUUGUCACACUGGGUCUUCUCCUGAUGUCUCUCUCCCUGCUACUUUUUCUGGUCCAGAGGGCUCUCCAGGAAGCAGGAAAGAGAGAAAAGAACUUUUGUGAAGUGAUGGGGGUGGGGAGGGAGGAUCGAAGCAGCUUUCAUGCACCUAAACAGGGAAUGAGUGCGUAGAUACCAUCCACUUACCUUGAUAACAGGAAGUCUGUUUCCAACAGACCUUCAAACCUUCAGAAAUCAGGUUAUGGAGAGGUCACCUUGGUCAUUCGUGUGAAUGAGCAGUCACAGGAGCACUGACAUCUGAAAUGACAUUUCCAAACUAUUGAUACCAAUCAACGCACACAGCCUCCCUAGGAAAAGGGAAUGUAAAAUAAAAUUAUAAAAAGCCCUCCUCUCUCCCCAUGGGCAUUAAGAACUAGUUAGUUCAUUCCUUUAUUGUAGAGCUUGUGCUUCGUUGAUUAAUAUUAAAUUACAGAGUUACUUGUGUUUUCUUUAAUGACCUUUCUUGGGAAGGUUGCUUCAGCAAAAUGAAGCAAAGCAGAUGAGAGAACUAUCCAAAAGACCUAAACCUGCAAAGGAACAAGGAGCCCAGCAGGUCUGCAACCCUCUCCUCACAGAAACAGAGCUGCAAACAUAUUUUUGAACCACAGGGAAAGCCCCUGGACUGUUCCUGGCUGACUCAGAGCCUUUUUCCCAGGUAUGGAGCCAAAACAGCGCAAAGGAUUCCUGAAAGUCUCAUUUCCACAAGAGAAAUGAUUCUUCUGAAGAGCUCAAGGAUAUAGGAGAGAAUAUGUCAGAGGAUAACAAGGUGUCUGUCAGGCUGUAGUCACUGCGCUGGGCUCCAUGGAGACUUCAAGUGUGAUGGAUACGAAUGUCUCAAAGAGUUGUCGUGAAUCACUCAGUCCAUGUUAUACGAGGGACUACUCUGAACUGCAGACAGGCCAGACAUCUUGAAAAAAUGGAAGGUGAAAUAAUUUGCUCAUGGUCCUUGUGGUACCUGCAUUCCCAAGUCAGAGGCUGUGCAGUUAUGCCUCCUGGGUGUUCUGUUUCCUGUUGUGCUUAAUUUGGUGCUUGCUUCUCUAAAUAUACACUUUCCUGAUUUGCUCCUUAGUCUAACUGCCAAGGGUCAUCAGAUUUCUAUUCCUUCCCCCUAAUUAUUGUUACAUCUGUGGAGGAGAUUAUUUGAGUAAGCUGACUGGGAUAAAUAAACCAGCUGUUUAUCAUCACAUCUGAGCCCCCAAACUCCUCAGCCCAUAGCUGCCAUAACCUAUGACUUACAAACUUGCCAUCCAGCCAUUCCAGUUACUAAUGCAUCAAUUACAACCCAUGUAAAUUUAGGGCUGGGAUUAAAGUUGAAUGUGUGAUGAUAAAAAGCCUUCCAGAAAGACAAGGGUCCUGGGACAUUAUGAAUUAUCUGGUAGUCAUUACUAUACAGUCCUUCAUGGAUCAUAAUCAACCACUGAAGUAAUGUAGAGGACCUUUCUCCCACUGGAGGCAUGGAGAGUGUUGCCAUUUGCUUCAGAAGGAGUAGAGUCAGGCCCAAGUCCUUAAUUUGUGCAUUUCUCAGUCUCUAGUUGCUAGCUGGCACUCUAGUUUGUAAGUCAAGGAUUCUGUCCUGAGAGAAACCUGAAGCACAAGAAAAGAUAUCCAGAAGCUGCUGACAUCAUGUGGGUAAAGUUCAGCACAUUUGGAAGUGAUUGCUAGAUUUUGUUCUAUCCCCUCUCAAGAGCUACACUGUGUUUGAUGCAUGAGACUCUAAUUGAAUUUAAGCAAAUAAACUGCAGAUUACAACACGAACUCAAACCUUGUUAUGCAUUCUGAUGCCUCCUUAUGCCUGUCUCAGUGAGACAAAAAUGAAAUAUGAUGCAGACAAUCAAUCUUUUUAUAUCUAUGCUGUGUUCUUUAUAGGGAAGCAUGACAGAUGUUUUUUAUUACAAUUGUAUGUUUACUGAGAGAGAGGUAGAGCAUUAAACCUCAGAUAUAACAUUUUCCUCACACUUUAUAUUCAUGAGAAAAGAAAGGGGGCAGGGAGAAAGAAAAAUAUAUAAUUGAAAAUGUUUAUUUCAUCCGUUUUGCCAGAAUUUCUUUUUGCUUGAAACUUCUCUAAGUUUCUGGGCUUUGUUUUUCCUUCUGAGGUUUUGGACAUACAUUUCUCUGGUGGAUGAGAGGGAACAAUGUUAACUACACUACUCAUCCCAGGCCUCCAGAGUUCUUGAAUCAUGCACCUAAAAUUAAGACACUUCUUUAAGAAUCAUGAGGUGCUGACAAAAAAGGUGCUGACAUUUUUAUUUGGCUUUGGGGCCCACGGGUUUCAUAUUUCCUAGCAGAAAUGUCAGAGGAAGAGACUUUUUUCUAACAAAUAGAAAGGUUUUGGUGCAUUCACAGGGCUAUAGACAAUUAAACUUUUAAGAAAUAUAUAAAAUAUCAUUACCACAACACUAAAAUCAACAGAUUAACCAGAAUUACUUUGAAACUGUAUUGUUAUUCUUCAUUAAAUUUUCCUGUUCUUGCACUUAAUUUUAACUUUUCAAAUAGUAGUCACAGUUCCUGAUUUUAAGGACAGAACGGCCUGGUUCAGCUGUUUGACCCUCUUACAGAAUGUGCAGGGUAUCUGAAGUUCUCUAUUUGCAUACAUGUGAAAAAAAAAUCAUCAUUUCAGCAAAUGCUUGCUUACUUCUGAUCUCAUAAUUGUUUCACUAGAUGAGGGAAGUAAUUAAUAAUACUGGUUACAAUUUCUUGUUAUGUAGUUCUUGCCACAGACCUCAAAAUCAUCUGUCUGCUGGCAUUAAUGAAUCUGGAGUCACAAGCUUCGUUGUACAGAAGGAGACAGAAGGAGACACCAAGGCUUAGCUAAUACGGCAAAUCUUCACAGUUACAUCCUGAAACCUGGAUAAGUUGUGUUUUUACUAAAACUUAAAAGCACAGAAUUUAAAAGAUGGUACCAAAUGAUCCUGGGAUCCCAGAAAUGAAAA